rnacentral:rRNA from 1 species
CCUACGGGAGGCAGCAGUGAGGAAUAUUGGUCAAUGGACGAGAGUCUGAACCAGCCAAGUAGCGUGAAGGAUGACUGCCCUAUGGGUUGUAAACUUCUUUUAUAUGGGAAUAAAAUGUUCCACGUGUGGGAUUUUGUAUGUACCAUAUGAAUAAGGAUCGGCUAACUCCGUGCCAGCAGCCGCGGUACAACGGAGGAUCCGAGCGUUAUCCGGAUUUAUUGGGUUUAAAGGGAGCGUAGGUGGAUUUUUAAGUCAGUUGUGAAAGUUUGCGGCUCAACCGUAAAAUUGCAGUUGAAACUGGCAGUCUUGAGUACAGUAGAGGUGAGCGGAAUUCGUGGUGUAGCGGUGAAAUGCUUAGAUAUCACGAAGAACUCCGAUUGCGAAGGCAGCUCACUGGACUGCAACUGACACUGAGGCUCGAAAGUGUGGGUAGCAAACAGGAUUAGAUACCCGUGUAGUC